GUGGAGUCUCCAUCACUGGAGGUUUUCAAGAUGUGGCUGGACAGAGUGACAGAUCUGAUUCUUUCUCACUACUUUCAAUUCAGUGGAUACAGAGUUGGCUGGAUGGGAAGACACAAAAUAAGGGAAAAUAAUCCUGAUUGUUACAGCCACUGGUUUUGUGGGGGUGAAGAUGAAGGCAGAGCUUUUGUAGUUUAUAUUCUAAGUGAAGUCCAAAGCCACUGUAGACACAGCUGAUACUCUUCAGUGGACAUGUUUAUUGAAACUUUCAGGCAAAAUACCUCAAUCACCUGCCCUGCCAACCAUGAACUGUGUUUUCCUGGAGUUUUCAUUUUUCUCUGGAUUGUGAAGCCCAGAUAUUUAAACCACUUUUUUCCCUUUCACCAAGAGAAAUAGAAAAAGGGGGAAAUGGUGUCCACUUCUGAACAGAUCUUUACCACAUAUCUUAAGUGUUUGAAACUGAUGAUUUCCAAUACAAGAUCAAAAAGCCUUUGGCGUGAUGAAAAAGAAGACUUUAGCCACAGCUUUCUGUACUUUUUCUUCUUCUUUCCUAGACCUAUUUUAUUGAAGCUGAAACCACAGUGGCUUAAAAGCAGUGUCUACUAAUCUAACCACUUUGUCUGGCAGACAAAGAGUUUACAGCUCUUUAUUUGUAGAGUUUAUAUUUGGAGUUUAUAAACAUAUAUAUGUUUAGAGAACCCUAUUUGCACCUUAAAUAUCAGAAUUACUUUUCACUAAAGUAGCAGAGUACACAGCCAAAAGACAGGCACAGGCAAGCUGAGUGAAAGGCAGACAUGCAGUGUGUUGCCAUGAGUGCUUCCUCACUGCACCUACCCAGCUGGGGCAUAGAAUGCACAAUGAGCCUUCUCAAAUGUGAAAUGAUAAAGAUGUUAAUUCCCCUAAUUUCUCUGAAGAAAUUUUGGAGAAAUCACCUCCUUUCAGAGCUAGAAAUGGCCAUGUCACUUUCUGAAACAAUUAGACUUGCUGCUGAGUGUGUAAAAUAUUGAUAGAACUCCUUUAGCUAUUUUUCUCCUUACUGAGUUAAUUAUAAUUUUAAUUCCACGUCAGGUGUCACAAAAAUAAGGCAUCAGUAAAGUCACUAGGGAAAUAAUGAAUACACGGGCUUAAUUCAGGCAAAUUUCCUUCUCCCUAAAGUAUGAAAGUACAAAACUUUAAGAAGCCACAAACUAAACCAGAUGCAAUUGAAGAUAAGAUUGAAAAACAAAAACAUCUUUCCUUUUCUCUUUUAGAUAUCCUGUCCCUAUUUCAUUAAAAUAUGCAUCUGUAUCUUACAAGACUUCAAUUAAAGAUAAUAUUUUUUACAUAUAUUUUUUGUAAUUCUGUCAGUAAGAGUGGGUUUCAGGUAUCACCCUUUUUCCUAGGUGAAAUGGCUUUUCCAGCAGUUAAGAACCAGUUUCUACACAAGAGAAGCAUUUUUUGCCUCCCACCAUCUGUUGAAAAUGUUUAUUAAAAGCUUGUACUAGAGAACCUGGGUUUGAUUUCCCUUUAGCAGGGCCUUAAUGAAUGUUUAGAGAGUUCUUUUGCCCUCAGGCUUUGUCAAGUGUACACGUAUUAACACAAAUAAGCGCAUCUUGGCACUCUGCUGCAGUCCUGUACACAAACUAAAAUAUCCUCUGCUAAGUUUUAAAGCUUCACUGAUGUGUUGGGACCAAAAUGUAGCAGAAUUUGUCAU